rnacentral:lncRNA from 1 species
UAACCCUUGGGGCUUUUUGGAGUUAUUUUGGGAGUCAUGAACUUAGGACGUUAUUUUGGGACUAAAUCACCAAGUAAGACCAUCUAGAUGCUAUUUGAGUGUCAAGGUCUGAACUUUACAUGAUUAUCAUGCUUGGGAAGGUCAGAUCUAUGGAUUAAAGGAACAUAUAUGAACUCAGGUGGUCUAUAGAGUUUGUGCAUGGCAUGAACUCGCCGAGUCCGAAGAUCAGACUCGGCGAGUAGGAUGAGGGUUUCCCGUAAAUCACUCAGUGAGUAGACCUGCCAAGUUGGGGAAAUAAUUCGGUGAGUCAGGGAGAGCUAGGGGUCUGGACUUCGAAGCGGAACUCACCGAGUUGUUCUUGAGACUCGGCGAGUUGAGUCGGGGUGGCCCCGCGAUUCAUGCCAGGUGUGACUCGUCGAGUAAGGGGAAGGAUUUGACGUGCCAAGAGGGACUGAGGGAGUCAGUAGACACGUGUAGACUCGCCAAGUCGCCCAAGUGCACUCGACGAGUCGGGUCAAAGUUUGACCGUUGACUUAUGGUUGACUUUUAGGGUCUGGUCAACUGUGAGGCCUUUAAGCCAAGAGAGGGGUAAAAUGGUCUUUCACCCUUCUGAGGGUGUUAAGAAAGGAUUGACUAUAGGUAUAUUUAUGAGAAUAUUUACUUUAUGUGACUAGGCGGAGGCUAGAUCACAUUUCUACCGAGUCAGAGACUUACCGGGACACCUGAGGUGAGUCUUCUCACUAUACAUUACCUAGAGUGGUAUCUAUGUGCAGACCGGAGGGUCUUAUGUGUUACGUAUGAGAAUAUGUGCUAUGUGAUAUAUGUAUGUUGUAUGAUGUUAUAGACCAGACCGGAGGGUCCAACGAUCUAUGACCGGACCAGAGGGUCCAACGAGUUACGGGACUAGAGUGUCCUGCUGAGACACGUCGACCGGAGGGUCGUAUUAUAGCCUCGAGUGGCGUAUGUGUUGUAUGCGGUAUUUUGAGGAACUCACUAAGCAUUUAUGCUUACAGUUGUUGUGUUUUGUGUUUCAGGUAGUAGCGAGGGUCGUGGAAAGGCGCUGGCGUGAUUCAUACACACUAGAGAGAGAGAGAGAGAGAGAGACAGAGAGAGUUGAUUUUUAUGAUCUUGGGAUAUGUUAUGUUUCAAAAACUACUGUUGGAAAUAUUUGAGAAUAUUUUUAUAUGAACUUGGUUGAGGAAAAAUGAAAAAUUUGUUUUGAAAUUUACGUUGUUACAGGUUGGUAUCAAAGCCUUGGUUUGAGGGAUUCGGAUGCAUCUUCGGGCGUAUCUGAACUCAAACUGAGGAUUUGAGUAAAAUUUUUGAAACAAAAGUAAAAAGAGUUUUGAGACAAACAAAGCAGAUCCGUGUGUACGUUCAGCCAACGCCCGAACGGUGAAUCCCCAAAAGUACCCUUACAUUAUGUGUUAUGAGAUAUGCUAUGUUAUUUUAUGCAUGCUAGAGUAGGCUAGGUAUUCAUAUUCGGACUAGAGUGGCCUGAUUUGUGAUGCCUUAGCCUAGGAGAUUUCUGCUGCUGAGUUGCUUUGAGAGCGAGUAGAUAGCAAUUAGGAGCUCAUGAGAGGUCUAUUGGAGGGUAGCCAAUGCAUAAUGAGAGUAGAGUACUUGUGAUCCAGGAUCCAAGGAGGAGGACUUAGGGUGAAUGCUGAUGCGGUGUGGUCAGUAGUAUAGGGCCCGUACUACUAAAGACACCAGAUCAGUAGGCAUUCCAAGUAAGAAUCCUUUGGACAAUGGAGGAUGAGUAGGGUUGAGUCAUUGAGUAUGAGUAUGCGCGAUCGAGUCUCUGAUAUUUAUUGUUGUAUUUCAGAAACACCAUGGUUGGGACUCGACACACACCUGAGAGCAGUGGUUUCAGCGACGACGAGAUCCAUCGAUUGAUUCAUGAGGAGGUGGCUGCUGCCAUCUAGGCUGAGAUUCCUGAGAUGUUUGGGGACAUCAAGACCACAUUGAUUGAGACCUUUGAUGAGCGGUAUGCAGCACUGACUGAGGCUGCGGCAGCUGCAGCUACGGCUGCUGUUGCUGCUGCCAAACCUCAGCGAGGUGACUCAUUGUUGUUUCGGGAGUUCAGCAACACGAAGCCACCAGAUUUCGAUGGGACGCAGGACCCAAUUGCUGCGAUGAGAUAGAUCUCUGACAUCUAGCGAUGUUUCUAUAUGUGUUCUUGUCUAGAGCACUUGAGGGUACGGUUCGCUCUGAACCAGCUCCGCUUGGGAGCGAAGGAUUGGUGGAAGUUCGUGAUGGCGAACUUCACUUUGACAGAGAUUUCUUAGGUGACCUGGGAGAGGUUCACCUCUAUGUUCAGAGACGAGUAUGUUCCCCCGGUGGAGAGGGAACGAUUGAUUCAGGAGUUCUUGACCCUCAAUCAGGGUAUCGAUUCUAUGGCAGUGAUUACCAGGAAGUUUCAUGAGAGGGCGAUGUUUUGCCCUGAGCAGGUGUCUUCUGAGCAGGCUCGUAUGAGCCGUUAUCUGAGUGUUCUGAGGAGAGAUAUUCGGGAGUUCGUGGCGAACUUAACUUACCGGACAUUUGUUGAGCUCCAGGGCUCCAGGAAAAUGCCCGGAAGAGGGAGAUUGAGUUGGAGACUCAGGCUAGAGAGGAGGCCGAGUCACAGAGGGUGGAUCGGUGACCGGCUCAGUCUCAGCCGGCAGCCAAGCGGCCUAGACCCGCUGAUUCAAGAUCUGGAGGCGAGAAGGGCUGCACUUGUGGGAAGUGCGGCAAGAGUCACGAGGGGUCAUGCAGGGCUGCAGUAUUCUACAAGUGCGAGAAGGAGGGGUCGUGCAGGGCUGCAGUAUUCUACAAGUGAAGGCCGAGGCACUGAAGGCUCGUGGGAGGGCUUUCCAGUUGACUGCGGAGGAGGUCCGUGCGGCGCCCGAUGUUGUGCCUGGUAUGUAUCCUAUAUACAUCUUUUAUUUGAGUUGAGUUAUUAUGUUUAUACGAUGAUGUGCGUAGGUACUUUUCUUUUGAGUUCUGUGCCUGCUUUGGUAUUAUUUCACUCGGGUGCGAGUCGGUCGUUUGUUUCCGUAGCAUUUAGUCAGCACAUUAGUAUCCGUCGAGAGGCAUUGGAUCGGCCUCUGCGAGUUUCCAUAGCCGAGGAGCGAGCAAUGUAUGCUUCAGAUGUGAUUUGAGGAUGUGUCCAUGAGAUCUUCGGUGUGGAGUUUCCGAUAGAUCUAGUUCCGAUUGCGAUGGGGGAUGUAUGUGUUAUAGUGGGUAUGUAUUGGUUGAGCCGAUAUGGAGCUAUGAUAGACUGCGAGCGUUAGUUGGUGAUGAUUCGAAACCCUAGUGGGGGAGUACUUACAGUGUUCGGUGAUGGAACCCGAUGUGGGUCGGCGUUUUGUUCAGCCGCCAGGGCGAGGCAGAGUUUGCAGCAAGGCUGCAAUGGAUUCGUAGCCUAUGUGACAGACACACGAGUGGCCGUUGGGAGGCCAAGUUCGAUUGAUGAGGUUCCAAUAGUGUGCAAGUUUCCGAAUGUUUUUCCUGAGGAACUACCGGGUGUGCCUCCCGAGAGGCAAGUGGAGUUCCGUAUCGAUUUGGUUCCGGGAGCAGCUCCUAUCGCCAAGACACCUUAUCGCCUCGCGCCGCCAGAGAUGCAGGAGUUAUCCUCGCAGCUUCAGGAGCUGUUGGGGAAGGGGUUUAUUCAGCCGAGUAGAUCACCUUGGGGAGCGCCAAUCCUUUUUGUCAAGAAGAAGGAUGGUUCACAUCGGAUGUGCAUUGACUAUCGGGAGUUGACCAAGCUAACGGUUAAGAACCGUUAUCCGUUGCCGAGGAUUGAUGAUUUGUUCGAUCAGUUGCAGGGAGCGUCUUGGUUUUCCAAGAUAGACUUGAGGUCGGGUUAUCAUCAGAUGAGGGUUCGGGAUGAAGAUAUCCAGAAGACAACAUUUAGAACUCAUUAUGGGCAUUACGAGUUCGUGGUGAUACCUUUUGGGCUCACCAAUGCACCAGCUGCGUUCAUGGAUCUCAUGAACAGGGUGUGCAGGCUGAUGCUGGAUCGGUCGGUGAUCGUAUUCAUCGAUGAUAUUUUGGUGUAUUCGCGGUCUAGAGAACAACACAAGCAGCAUUUGAAGGAGAUCCUUGGAGUUCUGAGAUCGGAGAGGCUUUAUGCUAAGUUCUCCAAAUGUGAGUUCUGGUUACGAGAGGUUCAGUUUUUGGGGCAUCUCGUCAACCAGAAUGGGAUAUUGGUCGAUCCAGCCAAGAUUGAGGCGGUCAUGAGAUGGGAGGUGCCGAGAUCACCCACCAAGAUCAGGAGCUUUCUGGGUUUGGCCGGCUAUUAUCGGAGAUUUAUUAAGGAUUUCUCCAAGAUCACCGUGCCACUCACCAGGUUGACCCGAAAGGGUGCUGCAUUUUCUUGGGGAGCGGAUCAGUAGACCUCGUUCGAGACGCUUUGCCGGAAAUUAUGCGAAGCCCCAGUGUUAGCCCUCCCGGAAGGGAUGGAGGAUUUUGUGGUAUAUUGUGAUGCAUCGAUAUCUGGAUUGGGAGCGGUGCUUAUGUAGAGGGGGCAUCUGAUAGCAUAUGCAUCGAGGCAUCUUAAGCCUCAUGAGUUGAGGUAUUCCACUCAUGAUCUGGAAUUGGGGGCGGUAGUGUUCGCCCUCAAGAUUUGGCGACAUUAUUUGUAUGGGGUUCGGUGUACGAUAUACACGGACCACAACAGUUUGAAGUAUUUGAUGGAUCAGCCCAACUUGAAUAUGCGCCAGAGGAGGUGGUUGGAUGUGGUCAAGGAUUAUGAUUAUGCGAUCCUGUACCACCCGGGCAAGGCUAAUGUUGUAGCCGAUGAACUAAGCCAUAGGGCGGAGGGCGCCCCGAUGCGAGAUGUUUGUUUGAGAUUGACAGUGAUGACCCCGGUGUUGGAUGCUAUUCGUGGGGCCCAGGCUGGGGCCGUGAGGCCAGAAAUCUAGAAGAGAGAGUGAGAUGUCGGGCUGGUAUCAGAAUUCGUUACCGAUAGUCGGGGGCUUAUCGUGAGGCCAGAAAUCUAGAAGAGAGAGUGAGAUGUCGGGCUGGUAUCAGAAUUCGUUACCGAUAGUCGGGGGCUUAUGACAUUUCAGGGUUGGAUAUGGGUACCGUCGGUGGGCGGAACACGUACUAUUUUGAUGGAAGAGGAUCAUCGAUCGAAAUUCUCGAUCCAUCCCAGGGCCACUAAUAUGUAUUUGGACCUAAAAAGGGAGUAUUGGUGGCCCUGUAUGAAGAGGGAUGUCGCAUGGUUUGUAGAGAGAUGCUUGACCUGCCGUAGGGUUAAGGCCGAGCACCAGCGUCCACAUGGUAAGCUGCAGCCGUUGGAGAUUCCCGAGUGGAAAUGGGAACAUAUUACCAUGGAAUUCAUCACCAAAUUGCCAAGGACUGCGAGAGGUGUCAAUGCAAUUUGGGUGAUUGUGGACAGGUUGACGAAGAGCGUUCACUUGCUUGCUAUCAGUGAGAGCUCUUCCGCGGAGAGGGUGGCAGAGAUGUACGUGAGAGAGGUGGUAUCACGGCAUGGAGUGUCGAUCUUGAUUGUCUUAGAUCGAGAUGUACAUUUCACUUCCAGAUUUUGGAAGAAGUUUCACGAGGAGUUGGGUACAAGACUACAUUUUAGUACCGCAUACCACCCACAGACUGACGACCAGAGUGAACGGAUGAUUCAGACGCUCGAGGACAUGCUCCGAGCAUGUGUGUUGGAUUUCGGCAGGAGUGGGGACACGUAUUUGCCCUUGGCAGAGUUUUCCUACAACAACAGUUAUCAUUCGAGCAUUGGUAUGCCACCCUUUGAGCUUGUGACAAUAGUCAAAUUCGGGUCAAGUCUAAGCCGAACAAAGUCAACGAGUCAAACCGGUCAACUCAAUUAAACCUUGUAUAUUAGGGUUUGUAUUAUGUAAUUUCUGUAUAACUCACUAUCUUAAUGAGAAAACAUCACCUGGAAAAAUUGUGUGUUUAGUUUUUCUUAACCUUAGUAUUAAACAAUGAACAAGAAUAAUAAAACAACGUUGGAUACUCAUCAGGAGUAUGUAAAAUCCUAAAACAUGGCUUAACGGGGUUCACGGACCUUGCGUUGAGGAGCCAAACACUCACUAAUGUCACACAUGAAACCACUCUCAGUCGUUUUCACUCUAUCUCUCUCUAUUGUCCAAAUCUCCCCAAGAAUGUCAAAUCUCUCCUAAAUCACUCUAAGUAUGUGAAAUCUCUCCCAAAUAUCUCUUUGUAUGAGAAAUCUUUCCAAGAAUGUCAAAUCACUCCCAAAUCUCUCUAAGUAUGUGAAAUCUCUCCCAAAUAUCUCUUUGUAUGAGAAAUCUCUCCAACAAUGUCAAAUCUCUCCCAAAUCUCUCUAUGUAUGUGAAAUCUCUCUCAAAUCUCUCUCGAAAUCUCUCUCAACUUUCUAUAAUCACUCGGGGCAUCCCGACCCUUGAAUUUGGCGAAAACAGCCCAAAAACGGACUUAAGGAGCCGAAACCCCUCUUAGGACCCGAAACCCCUCUUAGGACCCGAAAGUCCUCUUAGGAACCGAACACUUCUGAGCCGAAGGCUGCUGAACUGAACUUCACUCAAAGAACCGAACCCGAAGGCUCCUGGAACCGAACCUCGCACACACCCGAACCCGAACCUUCGGUACAUUUCAGGUCUGAUCACCUUCGCUUCUGAGACCGAGCCUUCGCCUUCGCUUCGCGCCUAGCAUCAUUAUGGACCGAACCUCAGCCUAGGACCGAGAGGUCUCGUUGGAAGUCCCUUUUCUCCCGGUUUUCGACUUAUUUUGCGUUUUAGGCCCGUUUUUAAUUGUUUUAAGACCGGAUUUUCACCCAAAACUUUAUUUUAACAUAUAAGACCCCUUAAGUAAUGAAUUAUCACGUUUUGAGGAUAAAACCUUAUCCAAAAGAGAGUAGGUGAAGUACAAAGGUAGAGUGUUGACUUUACUUUAUUUUAUGACACAAGCAACCCCAUACCCACUACAUACUUAACCCACACUCCUCCCCACCAUACCUUGUCACUUCCUUGUACUUUUUACCCCUCUCACAAGCCAUCCCCACGUUUUUAGGGCUGGUCACUCAACCUCUCUCCUCAUUUUCUUUCAAUUACUUUCAUUUCACCAAAGAUCCAACUCCAACUUUUCCCUCAAUCUUUUCUCUCUAAUUCGAGAUCCCAAGGCUGAUCAUCAAGUGUUCUUCCACUCUUGGUAAGUAUAAUUCAUCCUCCUUGUGAUUAUUACUCUUCAUUCUACCCAAAUCAUUGAUUUCUUACACAAACAUCAUCACAUUCUCUUGUUAGAUCUUCGAACCUUCAAGUGAUUCUUCAAGUGUUCUUGAGUUGAACACUUCUUUUCUCCAUCAUCCAUCUACUAAAAUCACUCAAGGUGAGUUCAUAACCCUCCAUUACCAUGUUUUCUUAAGUUUUAAGGGGGAGAAUACAAGUUAAAACACCAUGAACAUAACUAAACUUAUCUAACAACUUUCAUCAGAAAAGUUCGACUCCAUUNGCUUUCAUCAGAAAAGUUGGACUCCAUUCACGGACUGUUUUGGAUAACUUAGACAUUUUUGUUUUCACAACUAUUUUAGGUGCAUGUAGUUCAGGUUCUUAGAUUUAAAAUGACUACUUGCACAUCUCCAUAUGAUUUUUCUACAAUUUAUGGUGAUUUUUACAAAAUUGUCUAUCAUUUCAAACAUCAAUCCGGACCAGUCUGUGAAUAUGGACUUGUUCACACAAGUUAGAGGUCACUAAAAAUUAUGGAAAAAUUUAUGAACAAACUAGACUCAUUUUCCAAACUCUCAGAAGUUACAGAACUUGAUUUGUACAUUUUAUGAUUUUUCUAAAAAUUUUCUAAUAACAGUUACAGAAAAUGUUAUAAUCAGAAAAGCUAGCAAUUUCAUUUCACCUUGUAACAUGCUGAGCAAGGUGUAUAUUAUUAUGUGUUUAUGUGUUAUUGCAAUAUAUGACAUUCUUGUGUUAGUAUCUAGAUAUACACCAGUUAACAAAUGGAUUUUUACUAGAUAAAGCAUAGAAUAAACAAAGUGUUAUCAUUGAAGUACACCCAUUACACGCAAACAUUUUAUUAAACUAUGUUAAGUAUAGUUUACGUACUUUGUUAUUACUACCCUUGUUUUGAUAAACUAUAAUAAGUAUAGUUAAUGAUACAUUUCCAAAUACAUACAUUUCAGAAAGGCACAUUUAUACAAAAGGGAAACUUUCAUUACGUUAAGUGUAAAUUCGUUAAUAACUUUGUGAGACAUUCGCUUCGCAUAAAUCAUAAGUCCUGUAUUGUAACCAGAGUCUCCUGGAGGGAGAGCGUGAUAGUUGUAUAUAGAUCUAUAUUGGGCUUGACAAACCCACACCAGAGCUGCUUGCAACAGCUAGACCGGCAGGUCUGUGGUGACAAGUGUCAUUUCAGUUCUACGACGCCCGAAGAACGUCGUUUUCAGGCCACCUAGGUCAUAGUAUGGUUAUAAUAACUCACAGAAAGUAUUAACAAACAUAAGAAUUUACGAGAAUUUCAUUAAUAUCAUACGCGUUUAUGUUGAAAUAAACUCACGUUAUUUUCUGUAAAUAAGGAAGAUUACUCAUACGUUUCGGUCUUUGGAUACAAGACUACAGUAUUCAUUUUAAGGAAAAUAUCGGAUUUUUCUGGAACAACUAUACAAUUACGAGACAAGCUUUUUCAUAAUUGUAUACAAAAACUUAUGAACUCACCAACCAUUGUGUUGACACUUUUUCAAACAACUUGUAUUCUCAGGAAAUCACUAAACAGGAAAUCAAGUGGAUUUUGAGGAUGGGACGUUAAGGCGUCAAACGUUUCAUGUUUUUGUCAACAUAUUGUAAUUGAUUUUGAAACAUGUAAUUCAUACAAUGAUGUAACUCUUUCAAUUAUAUAUAUGUUGGUUGUGUUUACUUUCAUCACUAUUGCCAUUGUUGUUAUGAUACUACACAUGAAGUCCUCCACCCCCGGACGUUUCCGCCAUCCUUGGUUUGGGGGUGUGACAGAUUGGUAUCAGAGCACGGUUUAUAGUGAAUUAAGUAUAUCAAACAACAUAGGAUAUACAAACUAUAAACACAUUUGGGACUAAGAGUCUCUGAUUUUAAAACAUUCUAACCGGUUAUACUUUUAGAAAACGAAUAGUUCUUGUUUAAAAGUAUACCUACAUGCAUUACAUACUCGCGUAGUGUCAUAACUAGAAGAACAUAAACUAAAAGAAGAGGAGUUGAACGCUACGAGUAUGCCUUGGUAUGAGUAAUCAGUUUUGGGAAGGAUAUAGCCUGAUCAACUAUAUUCGUCCGGGAAGUGACUUACUCAUAUCGGGGGAUAGUCGUAGGAGGGCAACAAAUCUAAUAACCUAACUUCACCCUACAAAGAAUGCUAUAAGAACCAAAUCUAAACAUUUAAAAUACUAUAGGAGUAUUUUUAUGUUGCUAUAUCGCAAUAUUAUUAUUAUUAACCACUAUCUGCUUCUUACACCCCUAUUCUCGCGCAGACGACAUGGCAGGAUUUCACUUACCAGGAGACCCAUACUUUCCCAACCAGGGAAAUGCCGGCUGGAUUGAGGAAGAGCCCAAAGAGCUGAUUGAAGAGGAUCCCGAAGAAGAAGAAGAGGAGGUAGACGAAGAAGAAGAAAAAGAAGAGGAAGACGACGAGGUGGACAUGGAUGAGGACGAAGGUGAAGAAGAGCCAGAGGAGGUAUCUUCAACCCUCCUUACAUCGCGAGGGUACCUGCAAACCGCUGGGGGCACCAUGGGCCUGAGCCCCGUUGGGCAACCAUGAUCGAGAGGUGGAGCCGACAACAACGCCAGAGGUCACCCUAUGGCGACCAACGAGGUUACUAUGACCUCAGCCACGGAGGACCGACUGACAGAGCUCUCCCCGUUAUGGUCCAACACAUCACGAACUUGGGGAACCAGAGUAGGGAAGUGGCAGACCAGGUUCGAAACCUCAACGCUAUUACGGUAGCCACCGAUGCACACACUCGGGAUUUGGAGAGGGGCUUCUAUCCAGUGGACCAACUCAUCGAGGACCUUACCGCUGCUCGAGCGGAGGUAAAGGAGUACCGGGAGAGGCACGCAGCUCUCGAGGAGAGAGUGAUCGCGGCCGAACGCUGGAUUGCGGAGCUUCAGGGAGCCUCGACCUCAUCAAAGGGCCACCAUGGACCAGAUGCUACCUGCCGCGAGUAGUGUUCGCGCUACUCAUAUUUUAUUAUAAAUCUAGGAUUUCGAGUAUGCAUUGGUGCUACUCUUUAUUGCGAAUAGGUUGACCUCGCGACUAAGUGAUCACACUAGUUAAAGGGGCUUUUGUACUGCCAAAACUUUAUCUUUUAUUAUGAUGUAAUGUAGACCCUUGUGAGGUCAAAUUUCUCAAAACAAUAUGUACUAACAAAUUAUCAAGGAAUGUGGCAUGUAUUUUACUUCCUUGGAUGCUGACACGAACCAAACACAUGACUCUGCUCGGGUCAACACUAUUUAAUUCAUAAGUUUAAAUUGCAUAAACUUUUCGAUGAAUUACCUUCUAAAUUAAUAAACUCGGAUAAAAUACAAUUGAGAUGAAACAAGUAAACACUCGACUCGUUAUCACCAUUGAAGUCUUACCGACAAGUCUUUUCUUUUUAUUCUUAUGUCAGAACCAUGCCACCAAGGAAAAGACCAAGACCUUCCGGAAACUCAGCACCACCCCCUCCGCCACCACCUCCGGAGUUUGAUCCUGUGAUGUUUCAGGCUGCAGUAACAGCAGCCGUGGCGGCAGCAAUGUCGCAAAUGGGUACAAAUGGUUCCGGCGGUUCCGGAUCCGGGAAUACUAACUCAAAUCAGGGGGACAGCACAGGGCGUACUAAGGAGUGUUCUUACAAAGACUUUACGAAUGGCAAACCCGAUCCUUUCGACGGAAGUGGGGGCGUCAUAGUGUUCAUGCAAUGGUUCGAAAGGACCGAAGCAGUCUUCGAAAUCUGCGCUUGUCCCGAAGCGAGCAAGGUCAAGUAUUGCGGCAUUCACUUUCACAAGAAAAGCUCUUACUUGGUGGAAUGGCCGAGUUAAGUCACUUACUCCUGUAGUGGCUAACUCCAUAGUCUGGGAAAACUUAAAAGCGUUGAUGUUAAAGGAGUAUUGCCCAAGGGGAGAAAUACAAAAACUCGAAGAAGAACUCUGGAAUAUCAAGAUGUCGGGGACGGAUCUCGAAGCUUAUAUCGCCCGAUUCAAUGACCUAGCACUCCUCUGUCCUGCAAUGGUCACUCCGGAGGAGAAAAAGGUAGAGCGAUACCUAUGGGGGCUAUCAUCCCAGAUUCAUGAUAGUGUACUGGCCUCGAAACCUACUACCUUUGAGAGUGCCAAGGAAUUGGCACAACAACUUAUCAAUCACAGGGCCAGCCAUGGUACCGUGAUCGCCACCACCGACCAAGCAAAGGGAGGAAACAACAAGAGGAAGUUCUGGAACCAUAAAAAGAAACAACCGACACUGGACCCCGCAAAGAAGCAACAGACCGUUGCUGUCCGUGCUACCACUACUGCUACCACUCCAGCACCACCAAAGCAAUAUGCUGGAAAUCUCCCCAAGUGCAACAAGUGCAACUACCACCACAAUGGUGCUUGUCGGGAAAUGCACUGCAAAAACUGCGACAAGAAAGGGCAGACCGCUCGUUUCUGUAAAGCGCCAGCACGACCGAAUAACCAAGUUGCCAAUGCGGGGGCAAGCCAAAUCUGCUAUGGAUGUGGUGAAGCAUGACACUUCAGGAGAAACUGCCCUAAGGCACAAGCUCCUAAUGAUGGUGGUGUAGGGAGAGUCCUGACGAUGGGACACGGAGAAGCAUUCAAGGACCCCUCGGUGGUUUCUGGUACGUUUCUCCUCAAUAACACAUAUGCAUGCGUACUAUUUGAUAGUGGAGCAGAGAGGAGUUUUGUGAGCCAUCAAUUCAAACAAUUACUAAAACAAACCCCUCAUUCAUUAAAAGAUACAUACGUAGUAGAAAUGGCUAAUGGGAAAGAAGAGCACACUAAUGAUAUAUACUCAGGGUGUACCCUCACUCUAGACAACCAUUCGUUUAAAGUAGACCUGAUGCCGGUCACAAUAAAAUGUUUUGACAUAAUCAUCGGUAUGGAUUGGUUAAGUUCCCAUCGUGCCGACAUUCUAUGUUACGAAAGGGCCGUUCGCCUUAAUCUGCCAAAUGACGAAACCCUCUUCAUCUAUGGCGACAAACCCAGUUCAAAUUUGCAAAUAAUCUCUUGCGACAAAGCCCAAAAGUAUCUCCGAAAGGAAUACCAUGCAUUUCUAGCCCACGUAGUAGAUACGAAACAAGAGGUGAAGGAUAUCAACGACAUUCCCGAGGUGUGCAACUACCCCGAUGUAUUCCCCGAAGAUCUUCCAGGUGUACCCCUCGCACGACAAGUCGAAUUCCGGAUCGACUUAAUUCCAGGAGCUACCCUCGUCGCCAAAGCUCCAUACCGCUUAGAAUCGACAGAAAUGCAAGAACUUUCCGGCCAGUUAAAUGAACUGUUGAGCAAAGGAUUCAUCAGGCCAAGCUUCUCACCCUGGGGAGCACCGGUCCUGUUUGUAAAGAAGAAGAACGGAUCUUUUUGCAUGUGCAUACACUACCGGGAGCUAAACAAACUCACUAUCAAGAACCGAUAUCCCCUACCCCGAAUUGAUGACCUCUUCGACAAACUCCAAGGAGCAAGCUACUUUUCAAAAAUUGACCUGAGGUCGAGUUAUCAUCAACUACGAGUUCAAGAAGAGGAUAUUCCCAAGACUGCGUUCAGAACUCGCUACGAGCACUAUGAGUUUGUGGUAAUGCCCUUCGGAUUAACGAACGCACCAGUGGUAUUUAUGGACCUGAUGAAUCGAGUGUGUCGACCCUACUUAGACAAAUUCGUGAUUGUAUUCAUCGACGAUAUUUUAAUCUACUCCCAAAGCGAGGAAGAGCACCGUUAACAUCUCUGGCUAAUCUUGAAACACAGAGGGCUGAGAAGCUUUACGCCAAAUUCUCUAAGUGCGAAUUCUGGAUCAGAGAAGUAAAUUUUCUUGGCCAUGUGGUCAGCGAAAAGGGGAUACACGUGGAUCCCUCAAAAAUCAAAGCUAUCGAAAACUGGUCAGCACCUACAACGCCGACAUAAAUUCGACAAUUUUUAGGGCUCGCCGGCUACUAUCGAAGAUUCAUACAAAACUUCUCCAAGAUCGCCAAACCACUCACCACCUUGACUUAGAAAGGUGUGGUAUUUAAGUGGGGAGAUAAACAAGAAGCCGCUUUCCAGACAUUAAAACAAGCCCUAUGCAGUGCACCAGUUUUGUCUCUUCCAGAAGGAACCGAUGACUUCGUGGUAUAUUGUGAUGCCUCAAAACAAGGCCUCGGAUGCGUGCUCAUGCAGAGAGGGAAAGUCAUCGCUUAUGCAUCAAGGCAACUUAAGACACACAAAGUUAAUUACACUACCCAUGACCUUGAACUGGGGGCGGUAGUGUUCGCCUUAAAGAUCUGGAGGCACUACCUCUACGGCACAAAAUGCACCAUCUUCACCGAUCACAAAAGUCUUCAGCAUAUCCUCAAUCAAAAAGAGCUCAACAUGCGGCAACGAAGAUGGGUUGAACUGCUAAACGACUACGAGUGCGAAAUUCGCUACCACCCGGGCAAGGCCAAUGUAGUGGCUGAUGCCCUAAGCAGGAAGGAAUAUUCGAGCCACCGAGUAAGAUCCUUAAGAAUGACCAUCCAUUCCCACCUGGCCACGCAAAUCAGGGAAGCUCAACUAGAAGCCUUAAAACCAGAGAAUGUGGUAGGUGAGGCAUUAAAGGGAAUGGAUAAGAACUUAGAAGUCAAGGAUGACGGAACUCGUUAUCUCAGUAACCGAAUCUGGACACCGAAGUUCGGUGGGAUCCGAGACGUGGUCAUGAAUGAAGCACACAAGACUCGAUACUCCAUCCAUCCAGGGUCAGACAAGAUGUAUCUAGACCUCAAAAAGUUAUACUGGUGGCCGAAUAUGAAAGCCGAGAUUGCUACUUAUGUGGGCAAGUGUCUGACUUGCGCCAAGGUCAAGGUGGAAUACCAGAAACCCUCAGGACUACUACAACAGCCUGAUAUACCGGAAUGGAAGUGGGAACGGAUAACCAUGGACUUCAUAACCAAGCUGCCUAAGACUUCAGGCGGGUUUGACACUAUAUGGGUAAUCGUAGACAGAUUGACCAAGUCUGCGCACUUCCUACCAAUAAAGGAAACUGACAAGAUGGAGAAGUUAACCAGGAUAUACAUCAAGGAGAUUGUGCGACUGCAUGGUGUACCAAUAUCUAUUAUCUCNAUCUCCGACCGAAAUAGUAGAUUCACUUCGCGAUUUUGAAAGUCCCUAAAGAAAUCCUUGGGAACUAGGCUAGACAUGAGGACGGCCUACCAUCCACAAACCGACGGGCAAAGCGAGCGCACUAUACAAACAUUAGAAGACAUGUUGAGGGCCUGUGUGAUACACUUUGUUAAAGCAUGGGAUACCCAUUUGUCGCUGAUUGAAUUCUCCUACAAUAACAGCUAUCACACUAGCAUUAAGGUUGCUCCAUUCGAAGCUCUCUACGGUCGCAAGUGCAGAUCACCCCUAUGUUGGGCCGAAGUGGGGGAUACUCAGAUAGCUAGGGGGCAAGUCCCUAAUAGCACCCUUACUGGUCCUGAAAUCAUAAGGGAGACCACAGAAAAGAUUGUUCAAANUAAAAGAUUGUUCAAAUUCGGCAAAGAAUGAAGGCGUCUCGUGAUCGACAAAAGAGUUACGCAGACAAGCGACGCAAACCCUUAGAAUUUCAGGUCGAAGAUCGGGUAUUACUAAAAGUUUCCCCUUGGAAAGGAAUGAUACGUUUUGGUAAACAUGGGAAACUAAACCCGAGGUACAUCGGACCGUUCGAGAUCCUUGCCAGGAUUGGUCCUGUGGCGUACAAACUCUGAUUACCUCAAGAACUUAAUAGCAUACACCCCACAUUUCAUGUAUCCAACUUGAAGAUGUGUCUGUCUGACGAGACACUUGUAAUACCUCUCGACGAGAUCGAAGUUAUCGAAAAUCUCCACUUCGUGGAAGAAUCGGUUAAGAUUAUGGAUCGGGAGGUCAAAACAACGAAACAAAGUCGUAUUCCCAUCGUGAAGGUCCGAUGGAACGCUAAACGAGGACCUGAGUUCACCUGGGAACGCGAAGACCAACUGAAACAAAACUGCCUGCAUCUUUUCCCAAACUCCUGAAGUCCCAGCCAAAACAUAAAUUUCAGGACGAAAUUCCCUCUAACGGGGGGAUGAUGUGACAAUAGUCAAAUUCGGGUCAAGUCUAAGCCGAACAAAGUCAACGAGUCAAACCGGUCAACUCAAUUAAACCUUGUAUAUUAGGUUUUGUAUUAUGUAAUUUCUGUAUAACUCACUAUCUUAAUGAGAAAACAUCACCUGGAAAAAUUGUGUGUAUAAUUUUUCUUAAACUUAGUAUUAAACAAUGAACAAGAAUAAUAAAACAAUGUUUCAUACUCAUCGGGAGUGUGUAUGAUCCUAAAACAUGGCUUAACGGGGUUCACGGACCUUGCGUUGAGGAGCCAAACACUCACUAAUGUCACACAUGAAACCACUCUCAGUCGUUUUCACUCUAUCUCUCUCUAUUGUCCAAAUCUCCCCAAGAAUGUCAAAUCUCUCCCAAAUCUCUCUAAGUAUGUGAAAUCUCUCCCAAAUAUCUCUUUGUAUGAGAAAUCUCUCCAAGAAUGUCAAAUCUCUCCCAAAUCUCUCUAAGUAUGUGAAAUCUCUCCCAAAUAUCUCUUUGUAUGAGAAAUCUCUCCAAGAAUGUCAAAUCUCUCCCAAAUCUCUCUAAGUAUGUGAAAUCUCUCCCAAAUAUCUCUUUGUAUGAGAAAUCUCUCCAAGAAUGUCAAAUCUCUCCCAAAUCUCUCUAAGUAUGUGGAAUCUCUCUCAAAUCUCUCUCAAAAUCUCUCUCAACUUUCUAUAAUCACUCGGGGCAUCCCGACCCUUGAAUUUGGCGAAAACUGCCCAAAAACGGAAGUCUACGCGAAAAACGGACUUAAGGAGCCGAAACCCCUCUUAGGACCCGAAACCCCUCUUAGGACCUGAAAGUCCUCUUAGGAACCGAACACUUCUGAGCCGAAGGCUGCUGAACUGAACUUCACUCAAAGAACCGAACCCGAAGGCUCCUGGAACCGAACCUCGCACACACCCGAACCCGAACCUUCGGUACAUUUCAGGUCUGAUCACCUUCGCUUCUGAGACCGAGCCUUCGCCUUCGCUUCGCGCCUAGCAUCAUUAUGGACCGAACCUCAGCCUAGGACCGAGAGGUCUCGUUGGAAGUCCCUUUUCUCCCGGUUUUCGACUUAUUUUGCGUUUUAGGCCCGUUUUUAAUUGUUUUAAGACCGGAUUUUCACCCAAAACUUUAUUUUAACAUAUAAGACCCCUUAAGUAAUGAAUAAUCACGUUUUAAGGAUAAAACCUUAUCCAAAAGAGAGUAGGUGAAGUACAAAGGUAGAGUGUUGGCUUUACCUUAUUUUAUGACACAAGCAACCCCAUACCCACUCCAUGCCUAACCCACACUCCUCCCCACCAUACCUUGUCACUUCCUUGUACUUUUUACCCCUCUCACAAGCCAUCCCCACGUUUUUAGGGCUGGUCACUCAACCUCUCUCCUCAUUUUCUUUCAAUUACUCUCAUUCCACCAAAGAUCCAACUCCAACUUUUCCCUCAAUCUUUUCUCUCUAAUUCGAGAUCCCAAGGCUGAUCAUCAAGUGUUCUUCCACUCUUGGUAAGUAUAAUUCAUCCUCCUUGUGAUUAUUACUCUUCAUUCUACCCAAAUCAUUGAUUUCUUACACAAACAUCAUCACAUUCUCUUGUUAGAUCUUCGAACCUUCAAGUGAUUCUUCAAGUGUUCUUGAGUUGAACACUUCUUUUCUCCAUCAUCCAUCUACUAAAAUCACUCAAGGUGAGUUCAUAACCCUCCAUUACCAUGUUUUCUUAAGUUUUAAGGGGGAGAAUACAAGUUAAAACACCAUGAACAUAACUAAACUUAUCUAACAACUUUCAUCAGAAAAGUUCGACUCCAUUCACGGACUAUUUUGGAUAACUUAGACAUUUUUGUUUUCACAACUGUUUUAGGUGCAUGUAGUUCAGGUUCUUAGAUUUAAAAUGACUACUUGCACAUCUCCAUAUGAUUUUUCUACAAUUUAUGAUGAUUUUUACAAAAUUGUCUAUCAUUUCAAACAUCAAUNAAUCCGGACCAGUCUGUGAUUUUGAACUUGUUCACACAAGUUAGAGGUCACUAAAAAUUAUGGAAAAAUUUAUGAAAAAACUAGACUCAUUUUCCAAAUUCUCAGAAGUUGCAUAACUUGAUUUGGACAUUUUAUGAUUUUUCUACAAAUUUUCGAAUAACAGUUACAGAAAAUGUUAUAAUCAGAAAAGCUAGCAAUUUCAUUUCACCUUGUAACAUGUUGAGCAAGGUGUAUAUUAUUAUGUGUUUUGUGUUAUUGCAAUAUAUGACAUUCUUGUGUUAGUAUCUAGAUAUACACCAGUUAACAAAUGGAUUUUUACUAGAUAAAGCAUAGAAUAAACAAAGUGUUAUCAUUAAAGUACACCCAUUACACACAAACAUUUUAUUAAACUAUGUUAAGUAUAGUUUACGUACUUUGUUAUUACUACCCUUGUUUUGAUAAACUAUAAUAAGUAUAGUUAAUGAUACAUUUCAGAAAGGUACAUUUAUACAAAAAGGAAACUUUCAUUACGUUAAGUGUAAAUUCGUUAAUAACUUUGUGAGACAUUCGCUUUGCAUAAAUCAUAAGUCCUGUAUUGUAACCAGAGUCUCCUGGAGGUAGAGCGUGAUAGUUGUAUAUAGAUCUAUAUUGGGCUUGACAAACCCACACCAGAGCUGCUUGCAACAGCUAGACCGGCAGGUCUGUGGUGACAAGUGUCAUUUCAGUUCUACGGCGCCCGAAGAACGUUGUUUUCAGGCCACCUAGGACAUAGUAUGGUUAUAAUAACUCACAGAAAGUAUUAACAAACAUAAGAAUUUACGAGAAUUUCAUUAAUAUCAUACGCGUUUAUGUUGAAAUAAACUCACGUUAUUUUCUGUAAAUAAGGAAGAUUACUCAUACGUUUCGGUCUUUGGAUACAAGACUACAGUAUUCAUUUUAAGGAAAAUAUCGGAUUUUUCUGGAACAACUAUACAAUUACGAGACAAGCUUUUUCAUAAUUGUAUACAAAAACUUAUGAACUCACCAACCAUUGUGUUGACACUUUUUCAAACAACUUGUAUUCUCAGGAAAUCACUAAACAGGAAAUCAAGUGGAUUUUGAGGAUGGGACGUUAAGGCGUCAAACGUUUCAUGUUUUUGUCAACAUAUUGUAAUUGAUUUUGAAACAUGUAAUUCAUACAAUGAUGUAACUCUUUCAAUUAUAUAUAUGUUGGUUGUGUUUACUUUCAUCACUAUUGCCAUUGUUGUUAUGAUACUACACAUGAAGUCCUCCACCCCCGGACGUUUCCGCCAUCCUUGGUUUGGGGGUGUGACAGAUUGGUAUCAGAGCACGGUUUAUAGUGAAUUAAGUAUAUCAAACAACAUAGGAUAUACAAACUAUAAACACAUUUGGGACUAAGAGUCUCUGAUUUUAAAACAUUCUAACCGGUUAUACUUUUAGAAAACGAAUAGUUCUUGUUUAAAAGUAUACCUACAUGCAUUACAUACUCGCGUAGUGUCAUAACUAGAAGAACAUAAANGAUUCAGGAAGAGGGGCAAGUUGGGGCCCCGGUAUAUUGGUCCUUUCAGGUUGAUCGUGAGGGUAGGCAGGGUAGCCUACCAUUUGGAGUUACCUGCAAAGUUGGGUCAGAUUCAUGACACUUUCCACGUGUCGUAGCUGCGAAAGUGUAUAGCCGACGAGUCGGCAGUGGUGCCAUUAGAAGAUAUUCAGGUGGAUGCGAGCCUGAAUUAUGUUGAGAGACCGGUGGCGAUUAGGGAUCAGAAGAUCAAGGUUUUGAGGAACAAGGAGGUGCCUCUGGUGCAGGUCCAGUGGCAGCAUCGGAAAAGGUCAGAGUUGACUUGGGAGCCGGAGCGUGAGAUGCGGGAGCAGCAUCCAAAGUUGUUUGCUAAGUAAGACUUCGAGGGCGAAGUCUAAUUCUAGUGGGGGAGAAUUGUAACAUCCGGAUUCCCAGGUAUAAUAUUUUAUUCCUUUAUUUUUGGAAGUUGUGAGAGGACUCGGCGAGUUGGUGUUUAAACUCGCUGAGUAUGGUUGCGGAUUCGUAUCCAGGUUCACAGUCGGACUCGGCGAGUCCACGCUGUUUAAUGAAACCCUAAUUUCCUGGGUUUGGGACCUAUUUAAAGGCCCUUAGGGCCGUCAUUUGCGGCUACCAAACCCCAGAGAGAAACCCUAAGAGAUCUAGAGCGUUUGUGAGGAAAGAGAGGCCAUUUGUGAUCAUUUUGUUGGUGAAAUUGCAAGAAGGAGGAAACAAAGCCAAGAGGAGGCUGAAGGAGGUGUGAUUUUGGUGAUUUCAGAGCUCAUAGACUUCAUCUUGAGGUAUUUUUCGGACCCUCUUCAAUUGUGGUGUUGAUUUCCUAGAGUUAGGGUUUUCUAACCCCUUUAGAGGAUAGAUUGUGGAGCAAUUUGUCCCUUCUCAAGUUCAUGCUUUGGAUCUGAACUCAAAGGAGUCCAGAGACCUUAACCCUUGGGGCUUUUUGGAGUUAUUUUGGGAGUCAUGAACUUAGGAUGUUAUUUUGGGACUAAAUCACCAAGUAAGACCAUCUAGAUGCUAUUUGAGUGUCAAGGUCUGAACUUUACGUGAUUAUCAUUCUUGGGAAGGUCAGAUCUAUGGAUUAAAGGAACAGAUCUGACCUCAGGAGGUCUAUGGAGUUUGUGCAU